UAAUUAAAAACAUUAAAUAUUUAAAUUAAAUGAAAAUUUAAAAUAUUAAAAAAUAAAUUGAUGGACUCCAGAUUAAAACCACUCAUAGUCUGAGGCUUUCCUGGCUUAAAUAAGGUUGCACAGCUGAGCUAGGAUUGGGACUUUGGUCUUUUGACUUUCAGGAGAGUGACCUUUAUACUAGAAAUGACAGCACAGAAAUGACUAAUAAGGAGUUGAUAUCUAAGGGACAGCUUUAUUUGUGGACAAAGAAGACAGAUACAUUCCUUACUUCCCAAAAACCUCUGCUGGAAAUUUUCAUCAUUAUUCAGUCAUUUAGAGGAAUCUUCUGAAGACAUUAAUCUGGGAAUAAUAGCACAUUAAGCAUGGCAUAGAUUACAGAGAGCAGAGCUUCAAGGUAAGAAGGAAAAGUAAAAGUAAAUCUUAAUGUGGGGAUGAAAGAGAGAACCAGUAAACAGAUUAUGGGCAGCUAUUGGAUAUAAAAGGGAAAAGGAUAUUCCACAGUGGAAGCCUUUGGUGUGGGGAGGUAGUGGACCACUAAUAGGGAAAAUAGGUUUUCUCAAAUAAUGCACACAUGUCAUUGAUUUAACCCUCUUAAUUGGGCCAUCCCUGAAGUCAACAAUAUAUAUUUUUAAAGAACAUACCCUAAGUGUAAAAACAUUUAGGUCAAAGUCUUUUCUAAUUUACUGUGUGAACUUGAGAAAAUCCCAUUGCUAACUAGGAUCUGUUUCCUUCUCUGUAAAUUGGGAAUGCUGAAUU